UACGAAGGGGGCUAGCGUUGUUCGAAAUCACUGGGCGUAAAGCGCACGUAGGCGGAUCUUUAAGUCAGGGGUGAAAUCCCGAGUCUUAACCUCGGAACUGCCUUUGAUACUGGGGAUCUCGAGUCCGGGAGAGGUGAGUGGAACUGCGAGUGUAGAGGUGAAAUUCGUAGAUAUUCGCAAGAACACCAGUGGCGAAGGCGGCUCACUGGCCCGGUACUGACGCUGAGGUGCGAAAGCGUGGGGAGCAAACAGG
rnacentral:rRNA from 1 species